GUAUCGGAAACUGUAUUGCUAGAGUCUAAGAAGAGCCACUGGAAUUUCCGUUGUAGGGGUAAAAUCCGUAGAUAACGGAAGGAACACCAAAAGCGAAAGCAGGUGGCUGGCUUAGUACUGACGCUCAGAGACGAAAGCGUGGGGAGCGAACGGGAUUAGAUACCCCGGUAGUCCACGCUGUAAACGAUGAGUGCUAGGUAUUGGAGGGAUUUGACCCCCUUCAGUGCCCACAGCUAACGCGUUAAGCACUCCGCCUGGGGAGUACGGUCGCAAGACUAAAACUCAAAGGAAUAGACGGGGACCCGCACAAGCGGUGGAUCAUGUGGUUUAAUUCGACGAUAAGCGAGAAACCUCACCUAGACUUGACAUCUCGAGAAGGUUCUGGAAACAGAACUGUGCCGCAAGGAACUCGAUGACAGGUGCUGCAUGGUUGUCGUCAGCUCGUGCCCUGAGGUGUUCGGUUAAGUCCGUAAACGAGCGCAACCCUUGUCAUAUGUUGUAUUUCUCAUAUGAAACUGCCGGCUCCAAGCCGGAGGAAGGUAGGGAUGACGUCAAAUCAGCAUGGCCCUUAUGUCUAGGGCUACACACGUGAUACAAUGGGUCGUACAAUGGGUAGCCAAGGAGCAAUCCGGAGCCAAUCCCUAAAACGAUCCUCAGUUCGGAUUGAGGUCUGCAACUCGACCUCAUGAAGUUGGAAUCGCUAGUAACCGUGGAUCAUAACGCCACGGUGAAUAUGUUCCCGGGUCUUGUACUCACCGCCCGUCACAUCACGGAAGGUGGAAGCACCCAAAGCACCCUUGAUAAUAG
rnacentral:rRNA from 1 species